CAGAGCUUUAUAAAUUUGCAUUUAAUUGCUUUCCAGGUCCUUGCUGACCAAGCUUCCCGGGGUCAGGAACCGUUCCUUCAAACCCAGCGUCCCAGCACGUCGGAGGGACUCAGUAAAACAUGUUUAAAACCCCAGUGUCCCCCGUAUCAGGGCAAGGCACCCCCUCCCACGGGAUUGAGUGUACAGAAAUCUUCCACUUAGACACAGGCUUAAUUUCAAGGCCUGGAGCUUCACAAGCUUGCUGAGAGCCUGCGAUCCUGAGUGAAGAAUGUAUAAAAUACCAGGACCGUGUGAUGGGGAUAAUAUUUCUCGCUGCAGCCCAAGGUGGCAGAUCGGGAUACCGCUCUGUUAUGGCAGAAAAGCAGAUACACGUGGAAGGAAUGAUGGAGGCAGGAAACCACCGCACCCGUGGGUGACUGUUGGCUAAGGAGCAAGAAGAGGAAAUCUGGACCCACAGAGAGCCAAGAGAAGACCACUUGAGGACCCGGCGAGGAGGCAGCCAUCGGCAAGCCAAGGAGAGCGGCUGCAGGAGAAACCAGACCUGCCAACACCCUGGCCUUGGACUUGCAACCUCCAGAACUGAAGUACCGUCUGCAGUGUUUGGGGGUAAAGGAGGACCAUCUGCAACCAGCUCUCAGAUGAGAAGGGAGAAAGUGUGGAUGUGGGUGUCUGUGUACAUAACAGAAAGAGCUAAGAGGAAGAGCUAAAACAAACGUGAAGAGACACAGCGUUAAAAAAUAAAGUGCAGCUGAGUACGUUUUAAACGUCUCCUUGGCUUUCUGCGACCAUUGAUGAAUCAGGCAACAUCCAGUCUAACAGAAAGGCGCCCUGAGAAGCCGUCCAAAAAGACUUUUCUAGGCAGAAGGGAGCAAGGGCUCGUGUUCACCGGAAGCGGGGCUUGAGCUCACCUGAUGUGGGACUCGAACUCACAAACCAUGAGAUCAUGCCCUAUACCGAAGUCAGAUGCUUAACUGACUGAGCCACCCAGGCACCCCCUUUUGUCUUGUUUUUAACAACAGCUAACGUUCAAGGAAUCUGUGUGAAGGGUAUAGGGAGAUUCUUUUCAGUAAGCCUGAAAUUCUUUCAAACUAACUUCAAAGCCUUCCCUUGUCCUUCAGGAAAAACCCCCCUCACCAGCCCCGCCCCCUCCAGGG